rnacentral:rRNA from 1 species
CGCCAGCAGCCGCGGUAAUACGUAGGUGGCGAGCGUUGUCCGGAAUUACUGGGCGUAAAGGGUGCGUAGGCGGACCUUUAAGUCAGAUGUGAAAUCCCCGAGCUCAACUUGGGAAUUGCAUUUGAAACUGGAGGUCUAGAGUGCAGGAGAGGAAAGCGGAAUUCCUAGUGUAGCGGUGAAAUGCGUAGAUAUUAGGAAGAACACCAGUGGCGAAGGCGGCUUUCUGGACUGUAACUGACGCUGAGGCACGAAAGCGUGGGGAGCAAACAGGAUUAGAUACCCUGGUAGUCCACGCUGUAAACGAUGAGUGCUAGGUGUGGGGGGUUUCGACACCCUCUGUGCCGCAGUAAACGCAAUAAGCACUCCGCCUGGGGAGUACGGUCGCAAGACUAAAACUUAAAGGAAUUGGCGGGGGA